CUGUGGCUUAGUUUCUCAAUAAAAAUGUAUAUAUGGUAAUAAAUGGAGAAUGACAUUUCAGCCCAUGCUGAUGUGUCCACACGUGAUUUUCUGUGAUGAGAAAGUUUACAGUAUGAGCACGUGCAGCCAACACAAACACUGGAUUUGGACUUCAAUGAGGACAUACAGAGGUCAUGAAACAUGAUACAUUUACAAAAUUAAAUUAAUAUGUAUUAUAAAUAAUGCUGUUUGAAAAAGGGAUAUAGUGGAUGUUUUCAUUUUCACUGCAUCAGACAGUACAAUAUUCCCCCAAACCUCCACCAUAUUACCACACUGGACAAUUCAUUUCACACCCUGUGCAUUUAUGCAUGUGUGGAAUCAGAUAUGCACUUUAUGUAAUGCCUUCAACUGGGUUUUACAAAUACUAUCUAUCUAUCUAUCUAUCUGUCUAUCUAUCUAUCUAUCUAUCUGCCCGCCUGCCUGCCUGCCUGUCGUCUGUCUGUCUGCCUAUUAUCUAUCUAUCUAUUGUCCAUCUGUCUGUCUGUUUACCUACCAAUCUAUCUUUCUGUCGGCCUGUCUAUCUAUCUGUCGUCUAUAUGUCUGUCUGUCUUUCUGUCUGUCUUGUCUAUCUAUUGUCCUUCUGUCUUUAUACCUAUCGAUCUGUCUGUCUGUCUAUCUAUUUAUCUGUCUAUCUGUCUGUGUCUAUCAUCUAUCUGUCUAUAUACCUAUCGAUCUGUCUGUCUGUCUAUCAUCUAUCUGUCUAUAUGCCUAUCGAUCUGUCUGUCUGUCUGUCUAUCUAUCUAUUUAUCUGUCUAUCUAUCUAUCUAUUGUCUAUCUAUCCAUCUGUCUGUCUGUCUGUAUACCUAUCGAUCUGUCUGUCGGUCUAUCUAUUGUUUAUCUGUCUGUCUGCCUACCUGUCUGUCUGUCUAUCGUCUAUCUAUCUAUUGUCUGUCUAUCGUCUAUCUAUCUAUUGUCUGUCUGUCUGUCUGUCUGUAAGUAUACCGAUCUGUCUGUCUAUCGAUGUCUGUCUGUCUAUCGUCUAUAUGUCUGUAUACCUAUCUAUCUAUCUAUCUAUCUAUCUAUCUAUCUAUCUAAUAUCUAUCUAUAUAUCUAUCUAUCGUCUAUCUGUCUGUCUAUCUGUCUUUUGUCUAUCUGUCUGUAUACCUAUCGAUCUGUCUGUCCAUCUAUCUGUCUGUCUGUCUGUCUGUCUGUCUGUCUGUCGGUCUGUCUAUCUAUCUAUCUAUCUAUCUAUCUAUCUAUCUAUCUAUCUAUCUAUCUAUCUUUCUGCCUGCCUGUCGUCUAUCUGUCCAUCAUCUGUCUGUAUACCUAUCAUCUGUCUGUCUGUCUGUAUACCUAUCGAUCUGUCUGGCUAUCUAUCUAUCUGCCUGCCUGUCAUCUAUCUGUCUAUCAUCUGUCUGUAUUCCUAUCGGUCUGUCUGUCUGUCUGUCUGUCUGUUUAUCUAUCUAUCUAUCUAUCUAUCUAUCUAUCUAUCUAUCUAUCUAUCUAUCUAUCAUUAACAGCGCUGUGAAAGGUUGACUCACUUAUAGGGUAAGGCUAACACAAGCAUUUGACCUCUUUACUGAGAACCGCAGGUUUAACAAUGUAACACAGCUUUGUGUCUUUAGAGACAAACAGACACAUAUGGAUCUUUAGGCUGAUUA
ensembl:lncRNA